rnacentral:rRNA from 1 species
CCAGACUCCUACGGGAGGCAGCAGUCGGGAAUAUUGCGCAGUGGAGGAAACUCUGACGCAGUGACGCCGCGUGCAGGAAGAAGGUUUUCGGAUUGUAAACUGCUUUCGACAGGGAAGAAACAAGACAGUACCUGUAGAAUAAGCUCCGGCUAACUACGUGCCAGCAGCCGCGGUAAUACGGAGGAUGCGAGCGUUAUCCGGAUUCAUUGGGUUUAAAGGGUGCGCAGGCGGGCCUUUAAGCCGGCGGGGAAAGCGGGGGGCCCACCCCCGCCGAGCCGUCGGAACUGGGGGCCUUGAGUGCGGCGGAGGCAUGCGGAAUGCGCGGUGUAGCGGUGAAAUGCAUAGAUAUCGCGCAGAACCCCGAUUGCGAAGGCAGCGUGCCGUGCCGCCACUGACGCUGAGGCACGAAAGCGCGGGGAUCGAACAGGAUUAGAUACCCGUGUA